AUCUCCCCGCGGCUGCACGCUCUGGGGUGCGCACGGUGCCCGGCUCCUCACCCCGACCCUGCGCAGGGGAGCGGGAGCGGAGCGGCAGAGCUGAGCAGGGGCUGCCUCACUCCGUGGCAGGUCGCCCGCCCGUGGGUGGGGGGCACGGGGGCCAGGAGGAGGCGGGCACCCUCCUCUCCCCUCCUUUCCUUCCUUUCCCCUCCCACCCCGCCGCUCUGCGGGCGCGGGGUGCGGCCUUGCAGGUCACUGCUGGUCUCCACCGAGAUCCCCGCGGCGCGGAGCGGAGCGGCGAGGAGUGGUCCCGGCCAUGGUGCUACGCGCCGCGGGGCUCAUCGGCUACUGCUGCUGCCUGCUGCCUGUCGUCCUCCCCGCAGCCCCAGGUACUUUUGUGUUUCAAGUAGUUUUGAAACAAUGCAUUUUGAGUGGCAUGUUGUGAAAUUACAUACAUGGUUCUGUUCUGAAAUUUCCCUUUUAAAGGCGUGAACUGUAAAACUGGUUGCCACCCAGAGAAUGGAUUUUGUGAAUUUCCCAGUGAAUGCAGGUGUCAGCCUGGUUGGCAAGGUGCUCUUUGUAAUCAAUGUGUUCCUUUCCCUGGGUGUUUACACGGCAGCUGUGCCAAGCCUUGGCAGUGCAUCUGUGAGGAGGGAUGGGUUGGCAGCCUCUGUGACAUAGACAUUCACCCAUGUUCUGCAAAGCCCUGCACCAAUAACUCAACAUGCAUAGAAACUGGUGAUGGAGGAUAUAUUUGUCUGUGUGGCCAGGGAUUUACAGGAAAAAACUGCCAUCUCAAAAAAGGACCUUGCAUUAUUAACGGUUCUCCCUGCCAGAAUGGAGGAACAUGCAUUGAUGACAAUGGUUUUGCACCCCAUGCUUCCUGUCUGUGUCCUUCUGGUUUUGCUGGCAACUUCUGUGAAAUAGAUAGAGAUGACUGUGAAUCCAGCCCGUGUGAAAAUGGAGGAACAUGUACAGAUACUGGUGUGGGUUUCAGCUGUUUUUGUCCCCAUGGCUAUACAGGAAAGCUCUGCAGCAGCCGUGUCAUGUUCUGUGCAAGUGGCCCAUGUGAGAAUGGAGGCACAUGCAGCGAACAUCCCCAAGGAGGAUUCAAAUGCAUCUGUAAAUCAGAAUUCAUUGGUGUGACCUGCAAACAUCCCAGCAAAAACACAAGUCUUUCUGGAGCAAAUAUGGAGGCAAAGCACAUGCAGAAUUACAAGCCAACCUCAAAAGUUCAUCACAGAUCAGUGCAUCAAGAAAUCCUGAAAAUAACAAUGAAAGAAACCAUCCAAAAUGCAGAUCCCUUGCUGAGUAGAAGCCAGGUGAUAUGUUUUGUUGUACUGGGCUUGCUUACAUGUCUUGUUGUCUUGGGUACAACUGGGAUUGUGUUUUUUUCAAAAUGUGAAAUGUGGCUUGCUAAUGCCAAAUACAGUCAUCUCCUACGCAAGAAAAAGAACUUUUUUCUGAAAUCUAACAAUGGGGAAAACCUCUCAGUUAAUAUUAUCUUCCCAGAGAAGAUCAAAUUGACUAAUUAUACUAAGAACUACACUGCCAUUUAGGCCCUUGAAAGCCAAGCAGCAACUUGCAACUUUUCAUAGCGAUAUGUAAAAUAGAUUGAAUUUACUGUCCAUAAUUGGCCUCAAUAUUUGUGGGUACAUUUUCUGUAGUUUGUGCUGAGUGAUAAUGAAAAAAUGUAAUGUAUCUGUAUUGCUAAGGAUGUUUUCAUUCCCAAAAUAAAAGGUAAAAUUAAAUAAAUUUUUAAAAAUAUUAAAUAGCAGGGAAUUAUUUCUUUUUAGGGCAGCUAUUGUUUGUAAAAUAUAAAGUAAUCUAUCUACCACUGGAACUGUAUUGCAUCUUUCUUGUCUUGUGCAAAGUUUGUGUGGCAAAUACAGUACCUGUAAAUUUCGCUUUUUUUAAAUAAACAGCAGUUAAGGGCUA